GAUGAACGCUAGCUACAGGCUUAACACAUGCAAGUCGAGGGGUAACGAGAGGGAAGCUUGCUUUCCUUGUCGACGACCGGCGCACGGGUGAGUAACGCGUAUCCAACCUGCCCCCAACUAAGGAAUAACCUUGCGAAAGUAAGACUAAUAGCCUAUAAUUUCCUCAGAUGACAUCUGACGAGGAAUAAAGAUUUAUCGGUUGUGGAUGGGGAUGCGUCCGAUUAGCUUGUUGGCGGGGUAACGGCCCACCAAGGCAACGAUCAGUAGGGGUUCUGAGAGGAAGGUCCCCCACAUUGGAACUGAGACACGGUCCAAACUCCUACGGGAGGCAGCAGUGAGGAAUAUUGGUCAAUGGGCGGAAGCCUGAACCAGCCAAGUAGCGUGCAGGAUGACGGCCCUAUGGGUUGCAAACUGCUUUUAUACAGGAAUAAAGUUAGCCACGUGUGGUUAUUUGUAGGUACUGUAUGAAUAAGGACCGGCUAAUUCCGUGCCAGCCGCCGCAGUAA
rnacentral:rRNA from 1 species